UACGUAGGCAGCGAGCGUUGUUCGGAAUUACUGGGCGUAAAGAGUGUGUAGGCGGUGCUCUAAGUUCGGUGUGAAAUCUCCUGGCUCAACUGGGAGGGUGCGCCGGAAACUGGAGUGCUUGAGCGUGGGAGAGGAAAGCGGAAUUCCUGGUGUAGCGGUGAAAUGCGUAGAUAUCGGAAGGAACACCAGUGGCGAAAGCGGCUUCCUGGUCCAGCACCGACGUUCAGGCACGAAAGCGUGGGGAGCAAACAGG
rnacentral:rRNA from 1 species